rnacentral:rRNA from 1 species
CAAUAGCGUAUAUUAAAGUUGUUGCAGUUAAAAAGCUCGUAGUUGGAUUUCUGGUGGGAGCGAUCGGUCUGGCGCUUAGCGCGAGUACUUGCAUCGUCUCCGGCCAUCCUUGGGGAGAGUCUGUCUGGCAUUAGGUUGUCGGGUAGAGGAUCCUCAUCGUUUACUGUGAAAAAAUUAGAGUGUUCAAAGCAGGCUUAUGCCGUUGAAUAUAUUAGCAUGGAAUAAUAAGAUAGGACUUUGGUACUAUUUUGUUGGUUUGCGCACCAAAGUAAUGAUUAAUAGGGACAGUUGGGGGUAUUCGUAUUCCGUUGUCAGAGGUGAAAUUCUUGGAUUUACGGAAGACGAACUACUGCGAAAGCAUUUACCAAGGAUGUUUUCAUUAA